rnacentral:rRNA from 1 species
AAUGCCUAGGAAUCUGCCUGGUAGUGGGGGACAACGCUUCGAAAGGAACGCUAAUACCGCAUACGUCCUACGGGAGAAAGCAGGGGACCUUCGGGCCUUGCGCUAUCAGAUGAGCCUAGGUCGGAUUAGCUAGUUGGUGAGGUAAUGGCUCACCAAGGCGACGAUCCGUAACUGGUCUGAGAGGAUGAUCAGUCACACUGGAACUGAGACACGGUCCAGACUCCUACGGGAGGCAGCAGUGGGGAAUAUUGGACAAUGGGCGAAAGCCUGAUCCAGCCAUGCCGCGUGUGUGAAGAAGGUCUUCGGAUUGUAAAGCACUUUAAGUUGGGAGGAAGGGCAUUAACCUAAUACGUUAGUGUUUUGACGUUACCAACAGAAUAAGCACCGGCUAACUCUGUGCCAGCAGCCGCGGUAAUACAGAGGGUGCAAGCGUUAAUCGGAAUUACUGGGCGUAAAGCGCGCGUAGGUGGUUCGUUAAGUUGGAUGUGAAAUCCCCGGGCUCAACCUGGGAACUGCAUCCAAAACUGGCGAGCUAGAGUAGGGCAGAGGGUGGUGGAAUUUCCUGUGUAGCGGUGAAAUGCGUAGACAUAGGAAGG